UUGACCUCAAAUCAGGUAGGACUACCCGCUGAACUUAAGCAUAUCAAUAAGCGGAGGAAAAGAAACUAACAAGGAUUCCCCUAGUAACUGCGAGUGAAGCGGGAAAAGCUCAAAUUUAAAAUCUGGCGGUCUUUGGCCGUCCGAGUUGUAAUCUAGAGAAGUGUUAUCCGCGCUGGACCGUGUACAAGUCUCCUGGAAUGGAGCGUCAUAGAGGGUGAGAAUCCCGUCUUUGACACGGACUGCCAGGGCUUUGUGAUGCGCUCUCAAAGAGUCGAGUUGUUUGGGAAUGCAGCUCAAAAUGGGUGGUAAAUUCCAUCUAAAGCUAAAUAUUGGCGAGAGACCGAUAGCGAACAAGUACCGUGAGGGAAAGAUGAAAAGAACUUUGGAAAGAGAGUUAAACAGUACGUGAAAUUGCUGAAAGGGAAACGCUUGAAGUCAGUCGCAUUGUCUGGGAAUCAACCUUGCUUUUGCUGGGCGUACUUUCCAGAUGAUGGGUCAGCAUCAAUUUUGACCGUUGGAUAAAGUCCGAAGGAAUGUGGCAUCUUCGGGUGUGUUAUAGCCUUUGGUCGCAUACAACGGUUGGGAUUGAGGAACUCAGCA
rnacentral:rRNA from 1 species